rnacentral:tRNA from 1 species
GGGUUGCUAACUCAACGGUAGAGUACUCGGCUUUUAG